UUCACUCAUUCUGUACUCUGAACAAUCUGGGCAAUUGGUAUGCUUUUUAACACUUUUGCUUUUCAGAUAAGGAAGAUGAGGCAGAAGGAAGUAAUUAGUUUCAAAUCACACACAUAGUGUAAAGCCCAAAUUCUAAUCCCAGAAGUCUGUCUUCAAAGUCCCCAAUAUCUUUUCUUUUAGGAAUAGUGAUAGAUGAUAUCCUAGCUCUGCUUUCAAGGAGCCUAAGCUCUGGGAAGGGGGAGGGAUGGUCACACAUGUGUAAUACUCAGUAGAAAAUCUCAAGGUAGACAGGAGACAUCAAGAAGAUUUCAGAGAAAUGAUGCCUUCAAGGGGCAACAUUCUCCCCAAGGAUAGAGAGAAGUCAACAAAUACAGAUAUAUAAACAAUUAAACCAUAGAAAGUGUUAGAUAUUAUGUUUGCAUUAUGUAUCAAUCAUAGUGGGAGCACAGAGGAGAAUGUAACAAAUAUCCUAGCAGCUGCAGAGAAGAAUAGAAAAAAGUUUCCUGAAUCUGGAAAGGGAAACAGAUGAUCCAAGGGAAAAGUUGAGAAAAGUGAGUACUGAGAAGAAGUAAACAAGUCUGAUGGAGCAUGAGAUAGCCAGACAUGUCUGCGGAUAGCAGGGACUUCAGUUUACUUAGAGCACAGAAGGGGGAGUAGGUAUCUACUUCAAUGUAGAACCUCGACAUAUGACAAAGAAGAUCACUAAGAAAAGGAAUAAAUGAAAUACUGUUUACUUUCCUCUAUAAAGAUCCUCAGCCAAUCACAAACUCUUUCUACAAAAGGAGGGAGGGGGUUUGUUAUAACAUGAAUCCUUAGUAAAGGAACUACUAUGGAGUCAGGCCCUUUAAUACAUAAUUUAUUCAAUCACUUAUUUAUUCAGUCAUUAUGUUCAAUAUCUUUAUGUCAUUUAUGUCUUUAUGACAUUCUAUGUCGUUAUGACAUUAUGUCAAUGUCAGUGUGCUAGGAACCUUAAGGGACACAAAGGUGAAGAUAAAUAGCAUCCGUCCUCUAGAUACACCCUUAAAGCCUUUCAGGCAGAGCCAUGGCAUACUGGCUUAGUAACAAUUCUGAUGAGGUGGUGCCCAUGCAGACGUAGGUGUUACGUAUUUUGAAUAUUAAUCCUGCUUGCAGACCUUUCCAUGUGCUUGCACCGAAGAUGCAAUCUGGUGAAACCUAAGUAUUAAAGAAGUAAGGAAGGCCUCUGGCCAAUUGCCAGAGGAGAAUUGAAGCCUUCAAUUCAAUAUCCCCUGAGGAAUAGAAUCAUACCCAAAGCCAUGUGAGAGAGUUUAGCAGUGGGUCCUUCCCCAGUUGAGUCUUCAGCAAAUACCUCGUUUGCAGCCCUGUGAAAUACCCUUAACUGAGAACUCAGAAAGAAAGAACGAGUUGGUGAGAGGGACAGAGAGAGAAAAUCUUAAACAGGCUCCACACUCAGCAGAUUCCACAACACUGGGAUCAUGAUCUGAACCGAAAUCAAGAGUCCCUUGCUCCACCAACUGGGCCACCCAGGCAUCCCUCAGCUUUAUUUUUAAUAGCCAAAAACUGGAACCAAAUCAGAUGUCCAUCAAUAGAUGCCCGUCACCAUGUUUGUAAGCCUUUUGAUCCUAAUAAAAAUGAGCAAGGACGCUUACUCGGGGCUCUUGUCUUCUCCCAGACAUUAGCCUCUCUUGCAUUUUUAAUCCUGCAUCCUGCUUUCUUGCUGGACAAGAGAGAACUCCAGACCCAGAGUCUACAACACAGGUGUUGUUUCUUAAGUUUAUUUGACAUUGAAAUUUUAUUUUUAUUUGUUUUUUAUUUUUUCAGAGCAUCUAUAUGACAAGUAAUGUUUUAAGAUAUUGCCUGAGGAUAGGGCUGCCUUAGAAGCACAGUUCUUUUGAUCACUCUACAAUGUCAGUGGAGAACAUAUUUGCCUAAAUGAAUCAUUGCUAUUUUUACAAAAGGUCUCCCUUAAGACUAAAUCUUUCGAAUACCUGUUUUUGUGCAUAAUAUAGGUAUGCACAUGUGUAAGUGGGUAGGAGAGUGAAAUUGUCUUUGUCAACUUGGGCUGCUGUAACAAAAUACCAUAGACUGGAGUUAUUAAAAACAUGCUAUUUCUCACAGUUCUGGAAGCUGGAAAGUCAAAGGUUAAAGUGCAAGCAGAUUUGGUGUUGGGCGAGGUAUGACCUCUUGUCUUCUAGUCAGCUGCCUCUUCGUUGUGUCUUCAUAUGGCCUCUCCUCAGUGCAUAAGCAGAGAGAACUUUCCUUCUCUUUCUCUUUUUAUAAGGAAGGGUAUCAAUCCCAUAAUGACCUCAUCUAAACUUAUUUUACCUCUCAAACCUCCCCCCCUUCAAAUACUGUCACACUGAUGAAUAGGGUUUUAAGAUAUGAAUGAGAGAGGAAUACACAUUCAGUCCUUGACAAAAAUGGUCUAUAUUUUUUGUGAAAAAGCAAAGAGAGAUUCUGUUUUAUAGGCUCUUUUACCAAAUAUGUAUCUUCUACAGUUUUUAAAUAGAGUCAAAAGAAGAUGUGAUAGUAUAAUAAUAGUAACUAACGUUUAUUAAGCAUUUCUUAUGUGCUAAGCCUAUCUUGAGCAUUUUACAUUCGUUAUUCUAUUUAAUUAUCACAACAACCCAAUACAGAAUAUACUAUUACUAAUAUUCUAACUUUACAGAUGAGAAAAUAUGAACACAGGAUCACAUAAACUAAUAAGGUAGAGAGCCAUAGAAGGACUUUUUAUUUAUGAAUAUAUAAAAAAUAUCUUAUUUCAGUGUUUAUGCUUUCUCAUUCAUUUAUUUAAAUAAUAUAUAGUGAAAAUCUAGUGAGAGGUAUUGAUAGUUUUAAACACUUAAAUGUUACCAUUCUGUUUAGGAUGUUUGCAUAACUAUAGAGUUUCACUAGCAAAAACUUUGCUUGAAACUGUAUUUAUUAAAGUAACAGAAAAAACACUUUGUCAAACUGUGUAUAAAAAUUGUUGUGGCUUUUGGCAUAUAUUUCUGUUCACCUGAUUUAUUAGCCUUUAGAAAUAUGCAAAAUUAAAUAUGUGCAACUGACACCUCUGUAAAGAUUAUGGUUAAUUCAUUUUACAAUCACAUCUCAGGCAUUUUAUGAUAGCUGGAUGACUUAAAAUCCAAUGUGGGAUAUAGAUUUUUCAUGCAUUCCAUUUGAUUAUGGUCACUAGGUCCUGAGCCAUGGAAAGAACAUAUAUUUCCUGCUUAGUUUACUAAGGCAAUAUUUAUAUAUAGUUACCUAGAAUUUGAAGUUUUUUUUGUAGGGAAAUGCCAAAGCUUACUUCUCUUUCACAAAAUGUUAUAGAUUUCAAAAAUAAAUGGAAGUCAUUAAGGAGUUAUUUUCAACAAUCUUAUAUUUCGUUCAUUCAAAGAAAAAAGAACUUGCUUAAGGCUAUCAUUUCUAAAGCUAUUAUUGUGACAUAUUAAUAAAUUCUAAUAGAUCUUAAGGCACUCCUUCAGCUGUCAAAUAUAAACUGUUAUAAGAUGGUAUAAGGUGUACUUUUUACCUUUUAUAUAUACAUACAUGACUCUAAGUUCAAGUUCAUUAGUUAAGAUUGAAUUGCUUAUGACUUAAAAAUUGACAACGUAUAUUAAAUUCUAUUGCAAGGCAGAAAACACACUUGUACAUUUUUCAUAGUCUGUGGCCAUAUGAAAUAGAAUACAGGAGGAGAAAGGUGAUAAAAAAUAUAUAUAAAUUGGCAUAUAUAACGAUUUUCUUCCAGAAAAAAACAACUGCUCAUAUUAGAAAAGGAUUACAAGUCGCUUUUAUAAUUUUAUUUCUGGUAUUAAGUACUUUCUUAAUCUUAAAUUGCUUGCUCUUCUGAACUGUAUUUAAAUAAAUUCUUGAACUGUAAGGAAUCUAAUAAGAAACGUCCACUUUUGGCUAUUCUUC